rnacentral:rRNA from 1 species
GAUGAACGCUGGCGGCGUGCUUAACACAUGCAAGUCGAGCGAAGCACUUGAGUUUGAUUCUUCGGAUGAAGACUUUUGUGACUGAGCGGCGGACGGGUGAGUAACGCGUGGGUAACCUGCCUCAUACAGGGGGAUAACAGUUAGAAAUGACUGCUAAUACCGCAUAAGACCACGGUACCGCAUGGUACAGUGGUAAAAACUCCGGUGGUAUGAGAUGGACCCGCGUCUGAUUAGGUAGUUGGUGGGGUAACGGCCUACCAAGCCGACGAUCAGUAGCCGACCUGAGAGGGUGACCGGCCACAUUGGGACUGAGACACGGCCCAGACUCCUACGGGAGGCAGCAGUGGGGAAUAUUGCACAAUGGAGGAGACUCUGAUGCAGCGACGCCGCGUGAAGGAUGAAGUAUUUCGGUAUGUAAACUUCUAUCAGCAGGGAAGAAAAUGA